UGCAGUCGAACGGCAGCACGGAGCUUGCUCUGGUGGCGAGUGGCGAACGGGUGAGUAAUAUAUCGGAACGUACCCUAGAGUGGGGGAUAACGUAGCGAAAGUUACGCUAAUACCGCAUACGAUCUAAGGAUGAAAGUGGGGGAUCGCAAGACCUCAUGCUCGUGGAGCGGCCGAUAUCUGAUUAGCUAGUUGGUAGGGUAAAAGCCUACCAAGGCAUCGAUCAGUAGCUGGUCUGAGAGGACGACCAGCCACACUGGAACUGAGACACGGUCCAGACUCCUACGGGAGGCAGCAGUGGGGAAUUUUGGACAAUGGGCGAAAGCCUGAUCCAGCAAUGCCGCGUGAGUGAAGAAGGCCUUCGGGUUGUAAAGCUCUUUUGUCAGGGAAGAAACGGUGAGAGCUAAUAUCUUUUGCUAAUGACGGUACCUGAAGAAUAAGCACCGGCUAACUACGUGCCAGCAGCCGCGGUAAUACGUAGGGUGCAAGCGUUAAUCGGAAUUACUGGGCGUAAAGCGUGCGCAG
rnacentral:rRNA from 1 species